UACAGAGACUGCAAGCGUUAUUCGGAUUCACUGGGCGUAAAGGGUGCGCAGGCGGCCAAGUGUGUUAGGUGUGAAAAGCCCCGGGGGCUUAACCCCCGGAAUUGCACCUAAAAACUACAUGGCUAGAGCAUUGGAGAGGGGAGCAGAAUUCACGGUGUAGCAGUGAAAUGCGUAGAUAUCGUGAGGAAUACCAGAGGCGAAGGCGGCUCCCUGGACAAUUGCUGACGCUCAGGCACGAAAGCGUGGGGAGCAAAAGGG
rnacentral:rRNA from 1 species